GAUGAACGCUAGCGAUAGGCUUAACACAUGCAAGUCGAGGGGCAGCACAAGGUAGCUUGCUAUCUGGGUGGCGACCGGCGCACGGGUGCGUAACGCGUAUGCAACUUGCCCUAUACAGGAGGAUAACCCGUCGAAAGACGGACUAAUACUGCGUAUGCUCACAACUUGGCAUCCAGUGGUGAGGAAAGAAAUUCGGUAUAGGAUAGGCAUGCGUCCCAUUAGCUUGUUGGUGAGGUAACGGCUCACCAAGGCAACGAUGGGUAGGGGAACUGAGAGGUUUAUCCCCCACACUAGUAGUGAGACACGGACCAGACUACUACGGGAGGCAGCAGUGAGGAAUAUUGGUCAAUGGGCGCGAGCCUGAACCAGCCAAGUCGAGUGAAGGAUGACUGUCUUAUGGAUUGUAAGCUUCUUUUAUACGGGAAUAACAAGAGUCACGUGUGACUCCCUGCAUGUACCGUAUGAAUAAGCAUCGGCUAACUCCGUG
rnacentral:rRNA from 1 species